rnacentral:rRNA from 1 species
UACGAAGGGGGCUAGCGUUACUCGGAAUCACUGGGCGUAAAGGGUGCGUAGGCGGGUCUUUAAGUCAGGGGUGAAAUCCUGGAGCUCAACUCCAGAACUGCCUUUGAUACUGAAGAUCUUGAGUGCGGGAGAGGUGAGUGGAACUGCGAGUGUAGAGGUGAAAUUCGUAGAUAUUCGCAAGAACACCAGUGGCGAAGGCGGCUCACUGGCCCGAUACUGACGCUGAGGCACGAAAGCGUGGGGAGCAAACAGG